rnacentral:rRNA from 1 species
GUUGAACGCUGGCGGCAGGCCUAACACAUGCAAGUCGAGCGAGCGGCGGACGGGUGAGUACUGUCUGGGAAACUGCCCGAUGGAGGGGGAUAACUACUGGAAACGGUAGCUAAUACCGCAUACCAUCAGAUGUGCCCAGAUGGGAUUAGCUUGUAGGUGGGGUAAUGGCCCACCUCGGCGACGAUCCCUAGCUGGUCUGGGAGGAGGACCAGCCACACUGGAACUGAGACACGGUCCAGACGCCUACGUGAGGGAGCAGUGGGGAAUAUGGGACAAUGGGGGCAAGCCUGAUGCAGCCGUGGAGCGGGUAUGAAGAAGGCCUCCGGGUUGUAAAGUACUUUCAGCGGGGAGGCGUUACCCGCAGAAGAAGCACCGGCUAACUCCGUGCCAGCAGCCGCGGUAAUAC